AGUUGAGGAAUGUGACUAUGGGGUGGAAAGGCUCAGCAACGUGCACACGGCCUCCCAGCUACCUGUGAGCACUCUGCACCCUAUCCCGCCUCCCAAGCUGUAGUUUUCAGGUGUACAUACAAGCAAAAGAUGUGCAUUAAACGCAUUAGAAAAAUUGCCUAUUGGAACUGGUGAAGAAUUGAAGCAAUGCAUAUGAAUGCAGGGAAGGAAUGAAACAAGGAAGGGAUUUGAAAGAACCAAUAAUAAUUGUGUGAUGUGGAAUGAGGAAUGGGAUUGAUCUCACCCACUUUACCUGAGGUCCAAAAUGGGAACUGGAGCAAGAAAAUCCAAAGUUGCUUCUAUAUUAAUGUCGGUCUUACAUGCAUGCAAAUAUGUUUUCUUCACUUGGAAAGAAAGUUGAGAAGGACCACCAGGAACGAAGUAUUCAUCAGUGGGUUACCGAGUAUGCAUCUAUGCCCAGGAAAAUAAAAGUAACAGCAGCAACGAACACAGAAUGUAUGCUCUAACCAUCAGAUCCGACUGCUUCGUGGUCCCGCAGGCAGAUCUGGUGCUCACCUGCCCUUCUUGCUGAAUUAACUUCCCAAGCCUCUUAGCAAUAACCCCUGCUGCCCUUGGGAAAGUUCACAGUAAUUGGCAAGGCUCAGAUUCUGAGACAAUGGGUACCCCUUCUACUGAAAAUGCCUUGGAGGUUGGCACCCUCUGGCCACUGCUGUUCUGGUGAUGCUCUAGAAUAAUCCAUUCUAA